rnacentral:rRNA from 1 species
AAUUAUAAAUUUUAGUGGCGGACGGGUGAGUAACACGUGAGAAUUUGCCUUUAGGAAGGGAAUAACAGUUAGAAAUGGCUGCUAAUGCCCUAUAUGCUUUAUAGUGAAAGGAGUAAUCCGCCUGAAGAAAAGCUUGCGCCUGAUUAGCUUGUUGGUAAGGUAAUGGCUUACCAAGGCGACGAUCAGUAGCUGGUCUGAGAGGAUGAUCAGCCACACUGGAACUGAGACACGGUCCAGACUCCUACGGGAGGCAGCAGUGGGGAAUUUUCUGCAAUGGGCGAAAGCCUGACAGAGCAAUACCGCGUGAGGGAUGACAGCCUUUGGGUUGUAAACCUCUUUUUUCAAGGAAGAAGAUCUGACUUUACUUGAAGAAUAAGCAUCGGCUAACUCCGUGCCAGCAGCCGCGGUAAUACGGAGGAUGCAAGUGUUAUCCGGAUUUACUGGGCGUAAAGCGUCUGCAGGUUGUUUAGUAAGUCGAUUGUUAAAGCUUGGGGCUUAACCUCAAAAAAGCAAUGGAAACUGCUAGACUUGAGUAUGGUAGAGGUAAAAGGAAUUUC